rnacentral:rRNA from 1 species
UACGUAGGGUGCAAGCGUUGUCCGGAAUUAUUGGGCGUAAAGAGCUCGUAGGCGGUCUGUUGCGUCGGCUGUGAAAACCCGGGGCUCAACCCCGGGCCUGCAGCCGAUACGGGCAGACUAGAGUUCGGCAGGGGAGACUGGAAUUCCUGGUGUAGCGGUGAAAUGCGCAGAUAUCAGGAGGAACACCGGUGGCGAAGGCGGGUCUCUGGAACGUUUCUGACACUGAGGCUCGAAAGCGUGGGGAGCAAACAGG